CAGAGAGCUGAGCCAUGAAGAAGGAGCACCCCGAGUGACUGAGAGGAAGCACUGCAACUCCUGGACAGAAGGGGGUGUUGGAUUGGGUGGAGCUAUUCCCCAGAGGUAGCCACAAGGAAGUGCCUCAGUGGUACCAUACCCAGUAUGCUGAGCUAGUGCACCUCCUACAACUUUUGAAACACUUCCUUCUUGAAGAUAUCUAGCAUGCCUUCUGUGUGCCUCAUCAUUUUAUACUCAUGCAGAAACAUCUUCACUGGCCACCAAACAGUUGGACCCAGAAUAUAAGAGAGACAAGUUUUGCUGGAAAAGUGGAACUGGAAGACACCAGUGAACAGGCCUGACCCUUUUCUAACCAAUAUACUAAAUAUAAAAUGGAUACUGCAAGAGAUCUCAGAACACUUCAUGUUUGAAAUAACUAGAAAUAAUCUAAGUAUUAUCCUGGCACUGAUUAAUUUCACUGUUUUUUGUUUUUGUUUUUUUUGCUUAGAAAUGCCUGUAAUAACCUUGUAUUGAUUAUAGGACUAGAGA